AGGACGAACGCUGGCGGCGUGCUUAACACAUGCAAGUCGAGCGGAAAGGCCCUUCGGGGUACUCGAGCGGCGAACGGGUGAGUAACACGUGAGUAAUCUGCCCCUAGCUCUGGGAUAGCUCCGGGAAACCGGGAUUAAUACCAGAUACGACCACUUUAGACAUCUGCUGUGGUGGAAAAAAUUUCGGCUAGGGAUGAGCUCGCGGCCUAUCAGCUUGUUGGUGAGGUAACGGCUCACCAAGGCGACGACGGGUA
rnacentral:rRNA from 1 species